AGGAAAAUUUUUUCAAAGUAAUUAUAAGCAGAGUUUGUGUUCCCAAGGUUGCAUUCUUGGUAUACCUUGUCCCAUUGUUCUGCCGAUAAUUUUAUAUCUUGUGUCAAAGAGAAGAAAACAGGAAAAUGAUCAGAAAUGUCUGUCUUUAUUAUUCCUGCCUUUAGAGAAGUAUCAAAGAUUGAAUUAGUUAAUAUAUUGUCUAAUGCAGAGAUUGAAGUUGGAGUUACUCGGGUUGGUUUAUUAAUAAUUGGGAAGAUGUAAUAUUGAAGCAUUUCGUCAAAAAAAAGUUUAAUAUUGGCAUUUUUUUCAUAUUGUAAACAAUCUAUGUUUAUAUCACCAAUACAGAAUAUUUUUUUUUGC